rnacentral:rRNA from 1 species
CCAUGAAUCUGGUCUUGGGACACUGUCAGGUGGGCAGUUUGACUGGGGCGGUCGCCUCCCAAAAGGUAACGGAGGCGCUCAAAGGUUCUCUCAGUACGGUCGGAAAUCGUACGUAGAGUGUAAAGGCAAAAGAGAGCUUGAUUGCAAGACAUACAGGUCGAGCAAGGAUGAAAAUCGGACUUAGUGAUCCGGUGGUUCUGCGUGGAAGGGCCAUCGCUCAACGGAUAAAAGCUACCCUGGGGAUAACAGGCUUAUCUCCCCCAAGAGUCCACAUCGACGGGGAGGUUUGGCACCUCGAUGUCGGCUCAUCACAUCCUGGGGCGGUAGUAGGUCCCAAGGGUUGGGCUGUUCGCCCAUUAAAGUGGUACGCGAGCUGGGUUCAGAACGUCGUGAGACAGUUCGGUCCCUAUCCGUCGCAGGCGUAGGAAAUUUGAGAAGACCUGUCCGUAGUACGAGAGGACCGGGAUGGACGUACCUCUGGUGUACCAGUUGUCCUGCCAAGGGCAUGGCUGGGUAGCUAUGUACGGAAUGGAUAAGCGCUGAAAGCAUCUAAGCGCGAAGCCAACUUCAAGAU